UUUUUUUUUUUUUUUUUUUUUUUUUUUUUUUUUUUUUUUUUUACCUCCAAUCUG
rnacentral:ribozyme from 13 species